rnacentral:rRNA from 1 species
UACGUAGGUGGCAAGCGUUGUCCGGAUUUAUUGGGCGUAAAGCGCGCGCAGGCGGUCCUUUAAGUCUGAUGUGAAAUCUUGCGGCUUAACCGCAAGCGGUCAUUGGAAACUGGGGGACUUGAGUACAGAAGAGGAAAGUGGAAUUCCACGUGUAGCGGUGAAAUGCGUAGAGAUGUGGAGGAACACCAGUGGCGAAGGCGGCGCUCUGGGCCGGAACUGACGCUGAGGAGCGAAAGCGUGGGGAGCGAACAGG